UACGUAGAGUGCAAGCGUUGUCCGGAAUUAUUGGGCGUAAAGAGCUCGUAGGCGAUUUGUCGCAUCUGCUGUGAAAACUCAGAGCUUAACCCUGAGCCUGCAGUGGAUACAAGCAGACUAGAGUGUGAUAGAGAAGAUCGGAAUUCCUGGUGUAGCGGUGGAAUGCGCAGAUAUCAGGAAGAACACCCGUGGCUAAGGCGGUCUGCUGGGCCAAGACUGACGCUGAGGCGCGACAGCGUGGGGAGCAAACAGG
rnacentral:rRNA from 1 species